rnacentral:rRNA from 1 species
UCCUUCGGGAGUGAAGCUAGCGGCGGACGGGUGAGUAACACGUGGGCAACCUGCCUCAUAGAGGGGAAUAGCCUUCCGAAAGGAAGAUUAAUACCGCAUAAGAUUGUAGCUUCGCAUGAAGUAGCAAUUAAAGGAGCAAUCCGCUAUGAGAUGGGCCCGCGGCGCAUUAGCUAGUUGGUGAGGUAACGGCUCACCAAGGCGACGAUGCGUAGCCGACCUGAGAGGGUGAUCGGCCACAUUGGGACUGAGACACGGCCCAGACUCCUACGGGAGGCAGCAGUGGGGAAUAUUGCACAAUGGGGGAAACCCUGAUGCAGCAACGCCGCGUGAGUGAUGACGGCCUUCGGGUUGUAAAGCUCUGUCUUCAGGGACGAUAAUGACGGUACCUGAGGAGGAAGCCACGGCUAACUACGUGCCAGCAGCCGCGGUAAUACGUAGGUGGCGAGCGUUGUCCGGAUUUACUGGGCGUAAAGGGAGCGUAGGCGGACUUUUAAGUGAGAUGUGAAAUACCCGGGCUCAACUUGGGUGCUGCAUUUCAAACUGGAAGUCUAGAGUGCAGGAGAGGAGAAUGGAAUUCCUAGUGUAGCGGUGAAAUGCGUAGAGAUUAGGAAGAACACCAGUGGCGAAGGCGAUUCUCUGGACUGUACUGACGCUGAG